rnacentral:misc_RNA from 1 species
GAAAAAUUAUGCUAAUGUGCCAAAAUGGCGACUCUUGAAGACGAUAGAAGGAAUUAUAUUAACCGAAUAUUGACUAUUUUACCGUGAUAACACAAAGAGAAAAUGUAGUGCUAUCAGUGUAUCCAGCAAUGCCUGUGUGAGGCUUUACCAUGUCCUCAGUGGUUGAAAUGACGGAUAGAAAUGACAAUGUCACCGCAGUCCAAGUUUCCAGCACCUCUCACAGAGUUAAUAAUAUAGGGGCUCUGAAAUUCCGCCAGCGCCCGAUGAAGACCACGUGGAAGGACCUGUCUCCCACCCACAGCAAAGGUCAGCUGACUUUGGGAGGUCAGAUACCAUGUGACAAUCAUGUGACCCUUAACAAUCCGGCUAACUCUGCGACCAUCACAAUCGAUGGAGGCUUCCAGCUAGAGCAGGGCCCUGUCAUCAAGAUGGACUCCAAUAUCAUCAACACCAAGCUGGAGGAGCGACAAGUGUCCACGUUGCCACGGCGAUCACGCAAUCGCACAAAAACAUGGAAGGAUCUUUCACCAACCAAGGAGAAGAACAUGAGUUCCAGUUAUGGAGGAAGUCCUAAAAUGAAGAAGAACGAAGAGAACAGUAACCAACUGGUGACAUGGAAGGACCUCUCCCCAUCAAAGGAACCGUCAUCGCCUGAGAAGAAAAAGAAAAAAAAACGGCCCGAGAGCGGGUAUUUCUCAAAUGAUGUUCAAAGUGAUGUACAGGAGUCACGGGAGGGAAUUGAUGUGUCUUUGUCGGAAAGUGAGAGCGGCCGUGGAAGAUCAACAGCUGCUUCCUCUCCUGAAGAGGGAUGCUUCAAUAACGAGUACUUCUACGAUGAAGACUUUAUUGUUCAGUUUGAUACCAACAUCCGCGAUGGAUCAGUUCCCCGAAGUGAGGGGGAGCCUGAACCGGUUCUACCCUUUCCACAUUCUCUUACUGGAAGUUACACUCGAUUUGGAACUCUGCCUGACUCACAGCAAGAUGUGUUUCUCGGACCGUAUGAAUCCGAACUGUCUGGCAGUCGGACAUCGAUGGAGAUCUCAUCCAGCGAGCGUGAGAUGAUGUGUUCUAGUGAUAUGUUAGAUUUCAGCAAUGAUCCACUGUUCACUCCAACUCCUACGGGAGAGCCAUUGCCUCAACACUUUUCUGUGGACAGUUUAGGACGUUGUCAGGAGCUUGUGAAUAGCCGGUCUUCAACCGAUGCUCGUCUUGCGGUAACCUGUUGUCCCAGGAAGGAUGAAUACUUCUUGUCGUUUAAUGAAUCUCAGAGCCAUUUUACAGCAUCCGAGAGUGAACAUUCUUACGUCUCACAAUCCUCGUCUCAGGGAGGGGCGAGUAACUCUUGCAGCCCAUCGUGCAGUUCAAAUGGAGAGGAGGCGGAGGAAAUUUGUUCGAAUAGUUUUCACUUUUGUCAAAUGCAGAACACUGAUCCAAGUCUAAGGGCAAGUAGAGCCUAUCGACCAAACAGCCACCAACGCGGCUGCUCUCUUGGUGCAGUGCAGGAACGAUCAAUUGAAAAGUCAGAGCUUAGUGACCUUGAGAAAGGUCAUUGCAGCAAAUCUUCAGGUUCUAGUAGGUCACACAGUUGUGGAAGUUUGCGAUCUCCAGCAAGGUCUCCAUCUUGUUACAAGUUAUCUUCCCACACUGGAACUCUUCAGUCUUUAGAAGAUAUGCACUAUUCUGAUGAGGUGAAUGCUGAACCAAGGUACUCAACAUACGUCACGUCUUGGAAGCACGUAAAAAAUCUGAGAAAGUUUGGUAAACUUGAAAACAUGUUAGAGACAUCGCGAUGCAACAGCUUGCCUGACCUUAGCCAUCCUGUUCAGCACAGGAAACUGGAACGAGCAAAGAAACGUGAAAAUUUACAGGCAAUGGCCGACAGCUUCCACAAUAAGCGACAUUCCGCAUCACUUCUGGAAAUGUACCAGAGGAUGCGAUGUCCAUCAAAUCCUGUGUCUCCGGACACCAUGAAGACUGUAGAGCAAAUCUUGUUUCCCCAGAAUGGCCUGGCUGACGAAAGAUUUGGUGAUCAUUUAUUGUCAGUCUCGCGUACAGGCCUUGACCAGGAUGAUUACAGUGAGCAUGAUUCAGACAUUUGUGGAUGUGGGAACAGAGGCUUGAGACUUAACAUCCCAACUGAAGUUGGUCCUGGUGUCAUCAGGAGUCGAGAUUCGCGGACCAUGUCACCGUCUUUCAGGAGCCAUUCAACCGGAAUGACCCCCGACACCGUUGUGCUCUGGCAAGGCACCAAGAACUUUGCUUCCCAGUUUCCGCCUAAGACACAAGACUGUGGUAUUCAGACAUCUAUUGAUGGGAGUAAAGGCCCCGUUCUGUUGGACCACUCAAUGCAGACGUCUCCAAACUCACCGCAGAGAGAUUUCAUCUCUUUACUAGAUGACGUAUGUGGCCAUGAACCUCGGACGGAGCUAAAAGACCCGGACACCCCUUCACCAAGGAGAUGUGUAUCAGCAAAUGAAAUUAGAGCCAAAAGAACAAAAUCUAUGCCCAACUUCAAAAGAUCUGCGAGUCUUUCUCCAUCUCGAAUCGGAAAGAACUCUUUCUAUACCCAUAAUUCCCUGCCAGAUCUUAGCUUCUUGGCAUCAGGAAUGGAGCAGACUCAUAGUAACAGCUCCCUGUUUGACCCGGUUCAGAUUCCCAUUAUUCUGAGACCAGUUAUUGAUGACAGUCAACAGACGCAGUGCAGACAGACGGGGUCGUGUAGUUGUCAAGGUCACAAGGGUCACGUGCCAAGUCAUGUAGGAAAUCUAGCCUCCAGUAGCAGCGGAGUAAGCUCGACAUCGUCUUGUUUUGACCCGGGAUACGUGGAACCGAGACGAUGUGCAUCGUUAGCGGCAGAUCUCGAAAGGAUUCUGUUCCUUCCUCCUCAUCUAGAGGGUGUACCCAAGUUUGUCAACAACAGUGAGCAGCAGACAUGUCUACCUCAUCAUCACACGGACUGUCAACGCGAUGGGGGGGAGCGCAAGUAUGAUCGGUACGCCUAUGAAAUGCAUCCUGGGAACUGCCCAACGAGUCCGAAGCCAAAGCCUCAACGUCGUCCUCUUAGCAGCAGCAGCUCCUCCAACUCGACCAGCUCACUACACCUGGAGGGUCUGUAUGCCGUAAAGGAAGAACAGAGUCCUACAUCACCAGAGAAACCAGAGACAGGGCCGAGUUGGUUCGAGCAGCAGCGGUUCGGCAACAUCCAUCUAAGAAACUACACUGCUGAGGAGCUGUGCUAUGGUUUGUCCGACUGCCAGGAUGAAAACGACAGCAUUACUAUUGAGAUCUAUGAACAGUUUGCUCAUGAUCGCAAGCCUCUGAAAUCCUGUUUACGUAAGAAAGCCAAAGGUUAUAGGUCAAGGUCAUUAUCUAACCCUGACAGUUUGUGUGCUCAGAGUGAGGCACCCCCAAGGAAACCCAGCCGACAUUCAAUCGCGUGUGAUGGAAUAUUCCCACAGCUAGUCGACGAAGAGCAAUUUGAAAAUGCAAACAUUGAGUGUAUACGUAACUUCUGUGAUGAAGGAUUACCUCCCCCUGAAUUGCUCCAGGAGACUGAAGUAAACCUGGUUGGGAUUGUUUCAUCAAGCAGUAGCUCCUUCGAAGAUUCAAAGGCCAACAAACGAGUGAGCUUCGCUUCUGAAGUGUCCUUCCACUCACCACAGUACAGCCCCCAGUGUUCCCCAAAGAGACAAGGAUCUUCCCCGAAGCCUGAGACGGACGAGGAACACCUCACCUUACAGAUUACACAGUCGGAUGACAGCACAACGGUUCAGCUUGUCCCAAAGCAAGGACUGACCAACACAGGACCAGAGAAACCACCACGGCUCUCACAACAGCAGGCUCAAACCCGAGACUUCACUCCACAGCCUAUUGGACGCAGCCCUAGUGCCGAGUUUGCCUUUGAAAUGGCAAGAAAAAGAGCGGUUCUGAUUAGUGUAUCCCAGGCAGCAGAAGCUCUAGUCACACAUUUCGCCCAGGCUAGGGAUCCUUUCGAUAAGUUGCGACUAGGUAGUUCUGCUGAGAACCCUGCGAUCAGCAAGUUGGUUGUGGCCCAGCUGUGCCCAGCCAUUGAGCAUGUGGUGGAGAACGGCAUGAAGGCCUUCCUGACGGGGUUCCAUGUGUUUGGCAAGAUCCACAUCACACCAUGGAGGGUCGCCGAGAUGUCUUCAGAAAUUGGCCCCUACACCCGCGCCGUGAAUGAGCUGGUGCGACAACUGAAACUGAAACAGACCUUAAUAUCCAACAAGCAGAAGUUCUACGCUUUCAUCAUCGGACUCCUCAAUUUGCGUCUCCUGGAUUUCUGGAUGGGCUAUGUAAGAAGCAAGAAGAAUAUCGUAGAUCGAGUGUACAACCCAUCUGCAAUCUUGUGCUUAAGUCAGUCCCACCUACAACGUGGCUACGACGACAUGUUGCUGGCCCUCCAACCAUUGGCAGUCCUGCCCUUCCAGUUGGAGUUUGACAUAGUCACACCAAGCACACAGCCUCCAGGUCAAAUGGCCACCGAGGCCAAAUGCAAACAACACUGUAACUCCUUACCAAGGAACUAUGAACAUCAGAAUGCUGAACAGAGGCUAUCGGGGAGCGACAUGCGGGAGAGUAUGGAUGGAGAGAAGGGUCACAAUUGGAAGUUGUUUAACAAUGCGACUUUCCCAAGGGCAAGGACAUCCAUGACUAAUAUGACCACCUUCAAGGGAGGUAACUCUGAGAAGAAGUCGUUGCUGCCACCAUCUCCAACAAAGAUGCCUGGAAUGGAGACAGGUCUUGUAUCACAACCGGUGAAGAUCAUUGAGAACAAUCAAGUCCUGGAUCUCAAGUAUGAGGACAGGGAGGAGAAUGAGGAGAGAAUUCAUGUGGUGCAGUCCCCAGUCAGUUCAAUUACCAACCUGGCAGCCAAGUUCCUGCAGAAGACCCAAAGUCUAGAUCGGGGGUACAGAAACGGAGCGACGGAGUACAACUUUGCGAAUACAAAACUGAAACAGACAAGCUUGGAGUCAUCUUCCCAGGAAUCGAGCCAUGCGACCCAAGAUGGCCGGCAUGUCGUUCUGGACGGUAGGCAGUCCCAAGAAAGCAUGUCAUCGUCGUCAUCUCAAACAAUGAUGCAGCCGAAACAGUCACCGAGAAACUCUUUCAACAUCAUCUCCUUCUUUGACAAACUUCUGCUGCCUGACAAGAUGAACCCGAAGUCGUCCUUGACCAGGAACAGUUGGACAGAGGGCCAGAGGAGCAGUCAGGAGCCGGCUCCAGAGGACACACGGAGCAAGAGUCUUUCCCCUCAGCACCAGCCACAACACCAGGCACCAUCAGUGUGUAACACAAGGGUGGAUGAAGCCAGGAGUGUGGGGAGUAGUGAUGAGAACGACAGUCGCAAGGAGUCGAGUGAUGAGAACGACAGUCGCAAGGAGUCGAGUGAUGAGAACGACAGUCGCAAGGAGUCGAGUGAUGAGAACGACAGUCGCAAGGAGUCGAGUGAUGAGAACGACAGUCGCAAGGAGUCGAGUGAUGAGAACGACAGUCGCAAGGAGUCGAGUGAUGAGGAGAAGAUGGGGGCCGGCGAGACCAUGUCCGAGGUCCUGAAGUCCGAGGACGACAUCCAGGUAGAAACAACGGAGUCGGAUAAUUCUGAUAUGUCUCAAGCAAUGAAUAACCUAGGUCUGGACGAUAAGGAGGUGGACACUGAAAUGGAUUGUGCCAAGAAUAUAGCUGACAAUGCCUGUGGUGCAGAUAUGUCGGGUUCCACAAAGAGCUCAAGACUCAGCACUGUCACUCCAGAUGCUUCUUCAAGUGAAGCUGUUGAUGAUCCAGUUCCGAAUGUUCUAAAAGAAAAUGUGUCCCCUUCCUCUGCCCCGAAAUCGACACGAGCUUCAGUUGCCAGGGGAAACAGAUUGGAGGUUGGUUUGGGACAGUAUUACCCUAACGUGGAUAUUAAUGCUAACUCCCCUGACUUCCAUCCCGACCAUUAUGCAAUUGGGCAUACUGAACAUCCCAACCAAUCAGAAUCAAACUCACAAAAAGCAUGCCAGCCGAACCAACAAGAAUCCAGGUUACAAAACGCAUGCGGGCCCACCAAAUCAGAAUCCAGUUCAGAAGCAGUAUGUGAACACAGCCAAUCAGAGGCAAGUGUGCAGCACCAAUCAGGGUGUUCGGAUCAACACUUGAAAUCACCUGAGCCGUCGACCGAUUCUUCAGGGGACUCCUUCCAUAGAACAAUGUACAGCAGACAGGACGUGUGCGCGUGUUUCUUCCCCAUGGGGUGUUGACAUGACAACAGCGAUAUCACUCUCAGAUCAAACAACGUAUUAUCACAUACACUGUGCAUGGUACGUGAUUACCCUGGUAUCAUGUGAUCCAGACGACAACGAUCACAUGAACUACGAGAUCGGGGAGUACCUGGAAGUGCUGGCCCAGCUGGAC